rnacentral:pre_miRNA from 1 species
GAUUUCAAUUGAAAAAGUCAUCAACAACGAAGUUGUAUAACUCAUCAAGAUCUAUAACUUUUAUUUUGGUCGUUUCUUCAUCCGACAAAGUGAUAGUAAUAUUGUUUACAAAAUUUACAUCUGUCUCAUCUGGUUCUAUAAACUAUAAGAGAGAUAUGUAAACUUUGUGAACAAUGUUACUAUCACUUUAUCGGAUGAAGAAAUGGCCAAAAUAAAAGUUGUAUGUCUUGAUGAGCUCUACAACUUUUAUGUUCAUGACUUUUUCAGCUGAAAUU